UCCGCGCUAUCUCGGUUACGCCGAGGCCGCGCUGGCGCCGUGGUGGAAGCAGAAUCAGCCGCCCGAGCAGGUGCUGGUCCUGCGUGCGACCC
rnacentral:tRNA from 1 species